GAUAUUUACGCCAUGGAAACUGGCAAAUGCUAUAGCUCAGGACUCUUUUGCCCCCCAAGAGCUAAUAGUUAAAUACUCACCAGCAUGCCUCUCUUCCUCCUUCCUUUCUUUCCAACCAUCCAUCUCCCUAUUACAACCAGUGAGUACCUACUGUAUGCAGGACAUUACGCUGGGUUCUCCUUGAGAACUCCAAGAUUUUUGGAUAUUCAACCAAUCAACCAAGCCAUGUGCCCAGUUAUUCUCAACAACCUGACUCCCGCAUACUUUCUUCCACUCCAUUCCUCAGCAGCACGGUGUGCAUUGGUUCUCCGAAGGGAACGUGGACAGGCCCCGCAAAAGAAUGCUAGAAGGCUGGAUGGGCUGCAAGGGUCACAGGGCCCGAGUUCAGCAGGGCAGAGAGCCCCCUGCCCUGGAGAGGCCAUUCAGUCACCCACAGCCCUUGAAGGAGCACCAUGACAGAGAAGCUGAGAAGGCAAUGAAUUCAUCAUUUCUUUAAAGUUUUAUAAUAAAACCUUCUGUGAGUC